rnacentral:rRNA from 1 species
CUUGGCGACCAUAGCGUUUUGGACCCACCUGAAUCCAUUCCGAACUCAGAAGUGAAACGAAAUAGCGUCGAUGGUAGUGUGGGGUUUCCCCAUGUGAGAGU